rnacentral:misc_RNA from 1 species
GUGGGAUAACCUCAUAAAUUGUGCUAAUGGUGGGGUUGCACUGACUGGAUCUGCUUUAUUGGGAAAGGUUGGGCCACUUGUUGGAUCAGUUGAUAUUGCUGAAUCCGAGGAUGACUAUGUAUUUCGUGUUUCACUCCCCGGCGUCACAAGGGAUGAAAGAGUGUUUCGCUGUGAUGUUGGACCUAAUGGGGUGAUCGUCAUAAAAGGAGUGAGCGAGACCGGAGAAAACAUGGUUCGCAGGGACAACAUG